CACCUCUUGGGGACAGCUUCCCUGUUAUUUAGGACCAGCACUAACCUACCCUGCAGAACAUGAGGAAAGGUGCUGGGGGAAAUCCUGGCCUGUUACAGUUGCUAACUAUGUGACCUUAGGUAGGAUUCCCACCAGACCAGGAGUUAGAGUCAUGGUGACUUUGGAGGUCAGGAUGCCAGGAGGAAUGGUGCAGCUACCUAGCCAGAUGGGACAAACAUUCUAUGACAGUUCAGAUUCAGCUCAGCUAUAUUCUCUUUCCCCCUUCUCCCUGCCGGAAGACAAAGAAGAAUUUUAAACAAUGAAUUCUGCAUAACAUCUUGCUGGAGAGAACUCAAAUGCCCUAAGGACCUGGUAUAAAAAUGUAUAACAAAUAAACAUUUAAAGUAAAAAGAGAGAAAAAUGGGGGAUAAUUUAAGGGAUUAGUAGUGAAAAGAGAUACUGCAGAAUUUCACUUAACAGCCUUCUCUUGCUCUAAGAAAUUGCAGUCGCUACUCCCUCCAUCCCUUUGCCAUUUGUCAUGCUGUGAUGUAAAAUCCAUAUAGGUCUAGAGCUUUAAUUCUCUGAAUGUUUAUCUUUGGCGUUUAACAUUUGGUGCAAUCAGAACUUGAUUUAAGCGUACUCAGUCACCAAAAAAAGGGAUUGUUUUCUCUUGGUUUUCUUGCCUAUAGAAUGUCUUGAGUGGCUAAAACAUGGAAAGGCAGUGCCAGGGGCUACAUGGUGCGUUUAAAAUGAACUCACAGAUGAAUGUGCGAGGUUUGGGACACAAGGGCCCUAGAUUCAGCUCUUUUGAUUCUCUGGAGCCAGUUCCCCUCCCCCCCCCCAGCUCAAAAUCUAUUAGGAAGAGCAUUAGCUCUUGACUUGAAUCCUCUCUUGAUGGACUAAUGCUAUUAUGAUGAGAAUAAAGGUACUAACUUUA